rnacentral:rRNA from 1 species
GACGAACGCUGGCGGCGUGCCUAAUACAUGCAAGUCGAACGCUUCUUUCCUCCCGAGUGCUUGCACUCAAUUGGAAAGAGGAGUGGCGGACGGGUGAGUAACACGUGGGUAACCUACCCAUCAGAGGGGGAUAACACUUGGAAACAGGUGCUAAUACCGCAUAACAGUUUAUGCCGCAUGGCAUAAGAGUGAAAGGCGCUUUCGGGUGUCGCUGAUGGAUGGACCCGCGGUGCAUUAGCUAGUUGGUGAGGUAACGGCUCACCAAGGCCACGAUGCAUAGCCGACCUGAGAGGGUGAUCGGCCACACUGGGACUGAGACACGGCCCAGACUCCUACGGGAGGCAGCAGUAGGGAAUCUUCGGCAAUGGACGAAAGUCUGACCGAGCAACGCCGCGUGAGUGAAGAAGGUUUUCGGAUCGUAAAACUCUGUUGUUAGAGAAGAACAAGGACGUUAGUAACUGAACGUCCCCUGACGGUAGCUAAACAGAAAGCCACGGCUAACUACGUG